rnacentral:rRNA from 1 species
CCUACGGGGAGCAGCAGUGGGGAAUAUUGGGCAAUGGGCGCAAGCCUGACCCAGCAACGCCGCGUGAAGGAAGAAGGCUUUCGGGUUGUAAACUUCUUUUCUGAGGGACGAAGAAAGUGACGGUACCUCAGGAAUAAGCCACGGCUAACUACGUGCCAGCAGCCGCGGUAAUACGUAGGUGGCAAGCGUUAUCCGGAUUUAUUGGGUGUAAAGGGCGUGUAGGCGGGAAAGCAAGUCAGAUGUGAAAACUCAGGGCUCAACCCUGAGCGUGCAUUUGAAACUGUUUGUCUUGAGUGCUGGCGAGGAGAUCGGAAUUCAGUGUGUAGCGGUGAAAUGCGUAGAUAUACGGAGGAACACCAGUGGCGAAGGCGGAUUGCUGGACAGUAACUGACGCUGAGGCGCGAAAGCGUGGGGAGCAAACAGGAUUAGAUACCCGGGUAGUC